UAAAAAUGACUUAGCCUCAAAGUAAAACUCUCUACAAGAUAGACAUUCACUCUAAAUAGAAUUCUAUUCUUAACACUCCCCCUUGAAUGUCUACUCAAUAAAUAAUGUGCCUCAUUAAAAAUGUUUAGAAAUGUGCCUAUUUUUUGCCUCGUUAAAAACCUUGCAAGGAAAACCCUGUGGGACAAAAUCUUGUAAGGGAAAAAGAGUGCAACACGCAUUAACUUCCCCUGAAGAGAGCAUCAAUUCACAUCCUUG
rnacentral:lncRNA from 1 species